CUCGCCCAGCCAAGGCAGUAGAGAGGAGCCAGUUCCUUCUGACCGGUGGUGUCCCGGGGUGGAAAAUACCAGUGACAAGCUUGAAAGUCAUUUGCGGGAGGGACUUUAACAUACAACCUGGAAAAGAGGGGGCAGGAUGCCCCCUCUUGCACAGCAGGCCCUGAAGCAUCCUAGAGUUUGGCAUCGAGUUGAACCGGUGGAUGCCGGUCCACCAGUGGCAUCUGCGGGGUCAGCCCGGCUGGAUACUCGCUGCAAGCUGGGAGCGGUGGAUCCAAGAGGUGGCUCUCAACCACUUUAAAGCUGUUUACCACUUUCUGGAGCACCAGCCACAAAGUAGGCUUCUCCAUGCCAGCAAGAGUGGAAAUAAGAUAUGUCAACAAGAGUAUUCCUUUAUCUUGUCACUCUCCCACUUAAAACCCUCACACCUAUGGGAUGAAGACAGAGCUUGCCGUGGAUAUAAAUAAGAACAUAGAGGAUACAGACCACGUACUCACAAAGUGUGAUCUCCUAGUUAUACAUGGAGUCAUGUUCCCCACAAAACCAAGAUGCCCAUUCUCUCAAAAGAUUUCCCUUCUUCCGACCAAAUUGCCAGUAGAAUGAAAAAUUACCUGAAGGGAGAAUUCUUUGCAAGUGUAAAAAGGCAUCUCAGACAACAAUGGCUAUUUCUUUUAACCUUUUAAAAAGCUACAGGAU